ACGAUCCUGAAGGCCUUGUACUAGUAAGUGACAUCUGUGCAGGCAGGCGAGUGGUCCCCUAUGCCACAGAAGUUCCAUUAGUGCUGGAUGAGUCCGGCCCCGGGUGACUUACUUUUACUUCAAGAUGCCUUGAUUUAUUGGUUUUGGUCCGGGAAGGAAGUUUUAUACUGUAGCACUUCCAUCCAAGUUCCGAUUUGGCUUCCUAAACUUAACUAGUUGGGCAUCUUCCGCCUGCUUUCCAUACUGUACAAUUAGAGAUAAAAGAGAGAAAGCAAGAAUACAGAUACGUGCCUGUGACAGGUGCAGCAGCUGUCACCUGUUAGCUCAAACUAGUACAGUUCACUUGGGACCGACCCUUUUUGGUGACUUACUUUAAAGGAUUUACAUUUAGUUAUAAAAGCCCCUUCCUGGGAGGUCACAGCCAUCUAUGUAAACAUUUCCUAAAAAAAAUAACUCCACCAUCACUCUUUGUCACAGAAAUACUGAAUUCUACUAACUGGAAAAAGGAAAGUUUCCAAAUAUGCAUGUGUGGCAAGGAAAUAGCUGAAGGUUUCAAAGUCUAUCUUAUGGCCAUGGUCUCAAAAAUAG
rnacentral:lncRNA from 1 species